AGUGUUAACAAAUCAAUAAGGUCUGUCCAAUUUUUUAACUGAUGUUAACUGUUGAGUAUUUCUUCUCUGGAAUGUGCGUGAUAUACGCAGGCGCCCGCGCAAUGGCACAACUCGUCACACCUGUGUCAGUGGUCCACUCAGUGUUAAUUGCCAAAGGACUCUAAUUAAUGUUGCUAGAAAAGCACCUGGACGGUAGUGUUUGCUGUGAGUACAGCCUGCGGCGUGGACUCGGUGGCUGUGAGGGUGUUGUUGGUUUAUUUUUCGACCGGCGUUACCUCUGGACCCGAGUGGCCUCCUGCUGGGAACCUGCCCUCCAUCCAGCAGCAGCGCCGGUAAUAACAUGGUGGUGUUCCAGUACGGCCUGCUGGACUGCCGCUUUAUGCGCAUGCACUGACAUUUAUCCAUGCCUUGCCCAGGUUACUGCCAACCUUACCAGUUACAUGAAUGUGCUGACCUACAAGCCCACCCAGGGUGGCUUCUACCAGACUUCCUUCAGUCAGGCUAUUGUGUGCACCUAUACCAGACCUGCUGGCUGGACUCCUCCAGUGUAUAACCCUGCACUCGGAUGCUGCAGGGUUUGGGAAGGUGGAGUUUACCAUGGGGAUUAUGAAUGAUGACUUCUCAGCCCCACGCACCUCCAGUCUAUUCUUCCUGGGGUCCCCCAUCAACAUUGCAGCUGCAGUGAAGCAGCAAUUCCACAUGCCGCUGAUGGUCUACAUGGAAGCGUGUGUUGCUGCCAGCACUCCAGAGCUGAGCCCUUCAAGCCAGACCUACCCGCUCAUCACCAACCAUGGGUUGUGUUGGAUUUUGUACAGACCAACCAGUCCUUCCCAAAGAAUGUGUACAGGAGCCACACAAACAGGCAAGUAAAAUAAUGAUUUCUUUCUUACAGGAAACUUAGAUAAUCAAAUACAACUUAUUUUUAUCUGACUAUUUGCAAACUCCCCCCUUUCAAUCACGUUGCACAUUAUCUCCAUACAAAACCUAUUCUAAAAACACCUACAACUGUGCACUAGGUAAAACCACUAAAACCUUCCAUAAAAUAUUUUAACAGGCUACUUGUGACUUCAGGGGGCUGUUAGCAUUACAAUUAUUCCACUCCACACAAUAUAUUAUCACAACACAGUUCCAAACCAGUGCUGCCAUGAACAGUAAUGGUUCAGUCAGAGAUUUCCACCUUGUUGCAAUUCUUAUUUUCUUAACUUUCUUUCUUGCAAUUCUUCUUUUCUCAGUUUCUUCUUCUGGCUCUCGGGAUCCCCAUACUGCUUGCUAUUUCUAGGAUACUUUUAUUAGGACCUUUCUUAAUCACCCUGGUGGUUUACUGCCUCCAUAUAUUCCCAAUGCCAGGUAUUGUAUUCCCUGAAGGGGAUGAUAAGAAAAUCUAAUAUUAAAAGCAGGAUCUGAAAAUCAAUCAU